rnacentral:rRNA from 1 species
CGUUCCCGGGCCUUGUACACACCGCCCGUCACACCAUGGGAGUUGGUUUUACCCGAAGCCGGUGCUCUAACCCGCAAGGAGGUAGCCGACCACGGUAAGGUCAGCGACUGGGGUG